GAUGAGGAUAAAAUCAUUAACGCUCUCCGGGAGCGUUUCUCACGACGUCGGGACUUGAAUCAUCAAGCAGAAAAGUCGACAACUUGAACUGUGACUAGCGAAUCCGGUUUGUUUUUUUCUUUUUCUUUCUACGUUCCCAAAGAAAAAGGAAAAAAAAAAAAGUUUUUAACUUUUGAUGGGGAAAAAAAAAGAAGAUAGAAAAAAAAAUCCGGAAAUCCCUUUUUUUUUUUCAGCGAAGACGUCCUUUGUUGCCAGACAAAGUUAAGUAUCACAGCAUCCCGUUCAAACACACACAUAGCCGAAUCUAAAAUGUCAUUCUAAUAAUAAUGAAGCACAUUCAAGAUGGAAUGACGUCUAGAGAAGGGGGAAAAAAGAAAAUUUAUUUAAGUGUGUGUGUGUGUGUGUGUGUGCACUGCGGAUAUAUGCACACAUGUCCCUAAAGAGAAGGGCGGGGGGAGCAUCGAAGGUUAUUCGAUCCGCCGCGUGAAACAACAUCACGUCCGUCUCGAUGGGUAAACUCAAAAAAAACCCCCCAAAAAAUUGAAGCGUUUAUUUUAAUGUUUUAUAGAGUAUCGAUUAGACAGUCGUAUGCAAAUUUCAAAAAAUAAUAAAUAAUGGGACUGACUUGAUUGGUUCAUUAUGAAAUUGAGUGCUGUUUUACAGAUCGAUGCCAAUGCGGAAACGAGGAUCUAUCAGGUGACAUUUCAAAUAUUUUUGCUUUGAUGACUAUCCUUGACCGCAUUUCUUUUGCAAAAAUUCUAAACAGAUUGGCGGCAUUUCUAGAAAAAAUGAUGGAAUUCGUGACACUGGCCGAUCGAGUUUUGAGAUGUGUUUCGUCUCCUUUUCUAUUAAUGCGGCACGUGCACGUCCAUGCAAAAAGACUUGCGUGUGUUGUGAAACUGCUCCACAUCGAGUCCUGAAAGUAAGUUGGUGAACGACCAACUUGGCUCUCUCUCUCUCUAUCCGUGCGACACAAUCGUCGAGUUUGGUGCCUAUAGUUUUUAUGUUAUUUCCCAGUUUUUUAUUUUUUUAUUUCGCUGUUCAGGCAGUUAAGGAAUGGAGACAUGGCAAACUUUGCAGAGUAUUCUAAUCCGGGCUGUGUGUUUUUUUGAUUUAUUUUUUUGCAGACGUUAUUUGAAUAGAAUGAUGGGGUGUAAAGGCGGUGUGGCUUUUUCGCUCUCGUUGUCUGUCUGUGUAUUUAGCCGAUGGGAUUGCCGGUUAUAUUUGCAUGUUACGUGCUCUGUGGCGAUAGCAUCCAAUCGGAAGAGGCGAAAAACAACCGACAAUCGACCGAACAACAAUGGCAGCAGCGUUUUGAAUUGCAGGACAGUUGAUUCGGAUGCAUAAGGCAAGCAGCUGCGCAGGAAAGAAGAGGGGCAAAACAUGUACAUGAUGUAUACGAACCGCCUCGGGGGAUUUUUAUUUUUUUUUGAUGUCGGCGAAACAGGAUUGUGCAUCGAUGACGAUAGUUCUCGUUUUCUUUUUGAGGCAGAGGCGAUAGCGAGGAGGGGUCACUCCCGCAGCAUCGAUUUGCUCUGAGCUCACGAACGGACUGAAGGGGGGGGAGAUGAAAAAAGAAUCGACAGCCAAAGAGAGAGUCGUCACACGCAAAGACGAGACGGGCCAAAAAAAGG
rnacentral:lncRNA from 1 species